AGGUGCUGAUCAAUUCACAGUCUCCCUGGAGGUGUUAGCCCCCCCCCCAUGUCCAUCCAGCCACUCAUCGCUUCCUGCUCUUCCUUCUGGUUUCAGCUCCAUCCGUCUCUCCAUUAGCGCACCUGAAAUAACAGCGCUGGUGACAAAUGCUGCUGGGGAGGGGGGGGGGGUAAAAGAGGUGUGUGUGACGGAGGGAUGAGCUCUCUCUCUGUCUGCGGGGUUAAUUCACACAGCGAGCGGCGUUUCAGAGUGAAAGUGGAGCUGCUGACCCGCUGACCGGUGGCACAUGUGAAAAUUGACUGGCAGGGAUUACACCUGUGUGUGUGUUCACGUGUGUGUGUGUGUUUGUGUUCAUGUCUGCGUUAAAGCAGCUGUUUGUCACAUUCUCUGUCCUGCAGCAGUUAAUGCAGCUGCUGCAGCAUCUGGACAAAUGACAGUGUCACCUUUUCCAGAUUCAGAACAAGAAAACUUCAACUUUGUUUCACUGAUUUCCCCUUUAAUCAGUUAAAGGAAGAACUGAAGGAAAAAAAACGGACCUCAACAAUCCAGCUCAGUUUGUAUUGAUCAUAACAUUGAUCAAGUUUACCUCAAAGAUGUGAAACGUUGCUGAAAAGUGCACAUUUUUGUGUCAUAUUGUCACUAAAGUAUAGGGGUCUGAACAGAAAGGCCUAAACACAAAAAUAAUGUUUGCCUUCAAGCCUGUUUUCUAAGAUUUUAACCCUUUUUUUUGUCUGUUUGUGUUCUAGUUUUUCUAUUGUGCUCCACUUUUCAGUCACGUGGGGUGAGGCAGGAUGGGAUGAAGAGGUUUUUGACUGCGGAGUCUUGAAAACUGCAGUUUCCUGUUCUACCGGCAGGAGGCGCAAGCGGACAAGCGUAAAAGAUGUGAGCGGCUCGUAUGAACUUGGAGUCCAAACUGCACGGAGAAAAAUGACCGAUCUUUUAGUUUUGAGUGAUUCCUGAAAAUGCUUUAAAUUCAUUGAUGGAUUAAGACGAAAAUCCUGACAAAAUUUAAAAAGAAGAGAAAAACAAUGUUGAUUUGAAAAUUAAAGUCACACUUUUCUCAAGAAACUGGAUUAAAACUGAUCUUUAAUUGA